GUUUUUUCUCUAGAUAUGGGAUUUCAUCAUGUUGGCAAGGCUGGUCUUGAACUCCUGACCUCAAGUGAUCUGCUGGCCGCAGCCUCCCAAAGCACUGGGAUUACAGAGAAAGUGUAUCUCCCAGGCUGAAAUGCAGUGGUGCAAUUACAGCUCACUAGAGCCUCAGCCUCCUGGGAUCAAGCCAUCCUCCCACCUCAGUCUUCAGAGUAGUUGAGACCACAGCCUGCCAAAGACAGACACCAGCUCAGCUCUGGCUGAAUGAUGGCAGAUUUCGAUUUGGAAUUGUCUGCAUUUCACCCAUGAGUCACUGAUGUGCCUCCACUUCUCCCAGGGGAUUGCUGGCUUUACAACAACAUACACCAAGUCUUCAGAAUCUUCUAGAAGCUCAAUAACAAUUCCUACCCAAAGCCUGAAUGCUAUUCCUGAGUCAACAGCUGUGUUUGUCUUUUCUCCCCAGUUGUCCUGGCUG